GUGCUAAGGUAGCAUAAUAACUUGUCUCCUAAUUUGAGAAUAGAAUGAAUGAAUAAACAAUAAGAAAGCUGUCUCAUUAUAAGCCCUAAAAAUUUAUAUGGGGGUGAAAAAGCCCCUAUAACCCAAAAAGACAAAAAGACCCUAGAAGCUUAUAAAUAAUUAAAAUGUAAUUAAUAAAUAUUUUUUGGCUGGGAGGGCAUAAAGCACACACAACACUUUAAACCAAAAAGAAUAAUAUCGUAAUAAUCAACCCCAAUAAGAAUAUAAGUAAGCUACUCUAGGGGUAACAGGCUAAUACUCCUUAAGAGUACAUAUUGACAGGAGUGUUUGGCACCUCGAUGUUGGCUUAGGAAACUUAUUUUAUGCAGAAGUAAAACUAAGUGGUUUGUUCAACCUUUAAUAUCCUACGUGAUCUG
rnacentral:rRNA from 1 species